AUGCUUUUGAGUAGUGGAAAUCUCAUCCUGACAGACUCUUCAAACUCAGCAGAGGUUCUGUGGCAGAGCUUUGAUCACCCCACAGAUACACUUUUCCCUGGGGCAAGGCUUGGACCGGACAAGGUCACUGGCUUGAACUGUCAGAUCGUCUCUUGGAAGAACUUGAUGGACCUAGCUACCGGCGUGUACUGUCAUACGUUAGACCCCAGUGGUGCCGAUCAGUUCUUGCUUACACCAUUGAACUCAUCCAUACCAUAUUGGUCAACCGGUGUAUGGAACGACAAAUACUUUGCCUUAAUUCUAGAGAUGACAGCAAAGAACCCUGUUUCCAUCAUAACAUUUGUCAACAAUGACCAAGAGAAGUAUUUAACAAUUAACUUUGUCAAUGAAUCUAUGGUUACUCGUUUUGUAGUUGACGUGUUAGGUCGAUUAAAACAGUUCAUUUGGUUGGACGGUUCCCAGGAUUGGAUACUGGCCUUUGUCCAACCAAAACUUCAGUGUGAUGUCUACGCAAUUUGUGGACCUUUCACAAUUUGCAACGAGAAUGCGCCUCCACAUUGCAAUUGCAUGGAGGGCUUCAGCAUAACAUCCCCCCAGGAUUGGGAAAUAGAAGAUCGAACAAGUGGGUGCUCCAGAAAUAAUCCGUUAGACUGCAUUAGCAACAAAAGCACAUCUCAUACAACAGACAAGUUCUACUCUUUGCCAUUGAGUUGCAUGCCUGAGAAUGUCCCAAAACUCGAAGCUGCUACAAGCGCCAGUGAGUGCGCACAAGUUUGCCUGAGUAAUUGCUCUUGCACCGCAUAUUCCUUCAACGAUGGAAGAUGUUCUGUCUGGCAUAAUGAAUUGCUCAGCAUAAGAGCGCUACAAUCCGGAGGAACUCUUUACCUUUGUAUUUCUGCUAAAGAUUUCAACAGAUUAGAAAACAACAGAAAGGGGAUUGUUAUUGGAGUUGCAAUUGGUACAGGCAUUUCUGCUAUAGGUUUAUUUGCACUUGUUCUCCUGAUAAAGAUUUUGAGAAACAGAAGUAAGAGCUCUAGCCAUAUACUGGAUGGUGUUCAAGGUUGUAACAGAAUCAUUGCAUUUAGAUACACUGAUUUACAGCAUGCCACAACAAAGUUCAAAGAUAAGUUGGGUGCGGGCAGUUUUGGUUCUGUAUUCAAGGGGGUUUUAAAUGACUCGGUAGCUAUAGCAGUGAAAAGGCUUGACGGUGCUUCUCAAGGAGAGGAGCAAUUCAGAGCUGAAGUGAGCUCAGUUGGAGCUAUCCAGCACAUCAAUUUAGUUAAGCUUGUUGGUUUCUGUUGUGAGGGUUCCAAGAGGUUGCUUGUUUAUGAACACAUGUCAAAUCGCUCUCUUGAUGUCCAUUUAUUUCGAAACAAUUCAACAAUAUUGAGUUGGACUAUUAGAUAUCAGAUAGCCAUAGGGGUUGCUCGAGGUUUAGCCUACUUGCAUGAGGGAUGUCGAGACUGCAUCAUACACUGCGAUAUUAAGCCAGAAAACAUACUUCUUGAUGAUUCAUUUAUUCCCAAAGUUGCAGACUUUGGGAUGGCGAAGCUUUUGGGAAGGGAAUUCAGCCGAGUACUGACUACAAUCAGAGGAACUGCAGGGUACCUUGCACCUGAAUGGAUCAGUGGCGUUGCUGUUACACCAAAAGUCGAUGUGUAUAGCUAUGGGAUGAUGUUGCUUGAAAUUAUAUCUGGAAAGGAGAACUCAAGUGCAUCAUAUUCUAGCAGUGGCGACCUUGAUGUUUCUUUCCCUGUUCAUGCUGCACACAAGCUUCUUGAAGGAGACGUCGGGAGUUUGAUAGAUCAAACGUUACAUGAUGAUCUUAAUUUGGUUGAGGCUGAACUGGCUUGCAAGGUUGCAUGUUGGUGCAUCCAACACCAUGAGCUUGAUCGACCAACAAUGGGACAGGUAGUUCAGAUUCUUCAAGGGCUAGUUGAGAUCAGGAUGCCCCCCAUACCAAGACACCUCGAAGCUAUGGCUUAA
rnacentral:rRNA from 1 species